UUAUCUAAUUAACUGAGUAUAUUUUUUUUUUGUGGAAUGGAGAGAGUGAGAUUUGCUUCAAAAGAAGGCUUUGCAGGCUUGCCUUCCGCAAUGCCCUCUGCCUUUGUAUUUAUAUAACGAAUUUACAUGUUUCUUGUUUCUAAAAAGUAAUGAAAGUCAAAAAAGUGGGGCCUAUCCCCAUCUAACUUUUCCUAAAUUUCUAAUCUACGUAAAGUUCCUUUAAUUUUUGAAACUAAAAUCAAACUAAAGCCUAAAAAGUCAAAAACUACCUAACUUAAAGUAAAUGCUAAUUAAUUACAUUUCAAGACUUUCGUAUAAUAAUUCUGCUUCUGUACAG
rnacentral:lncRNA from 1 species